GUCAGAACGCUUGUCAACAAGGAACCAGAGGACGGGGAACCUUAUAAUCUUUUAAUACCAUUGGGAAUCAAUGAUGCAGUUCUGCACGCUGGAAACCAACACGUGACUGACAUCGCUCAACUUAAAUGAAACAACUUAAUGUAGAGGGUGAUUACAGCAAGUCAAAGACGUAUUGAUUUUUAUCUAUUUGUUGUAAUUCCUGAGGGGGUUGUGGUAUGUGAAUAAACUAAAGCAGCUUCUGCUGUUUUGAUACUUGACAGGGUGCAUUUAAGAAAAAUGAAUACAUUUUCCCGACCAACUAAUCAAUCCUCAUAAGAUGUACUUGGUGGACAUUGAGCUUCAAGGAGGAAUGAAAGCCGAUGUAACCGACAUCUGCUAUUGAUUUUUUCUUAAGGGCAGCCUAGAAAGUGCAGCAACGACUUCUAGACCCCGACCUGAAGCCUCCAGCAAACAAAGAGACGCUGAAGAUGUCGCCAUUGAGAAGCCUUUGGAGCAAACAGGCCAGCGACCUGGGGAAGCAUUCAAACUGACGACCGUGGAAAUGAAAACCACUCAACUCAAGACGCCGUUCUGUGACGUCCGUGAGCAUGAAACACACACACUAGCAUCUCUCUGGACAAGAUCUUUAAGGGCUUCGUGAUCUCCACCAAGCUGUGUACCCACCGCUGCCGGGCCGGGAAGGAAAUGUACCUGCACGGCUCACCGAUUCC